AUUCUCAAGUCUUCGCUCCCACAACUAAACCAAAUCUCUGCAAAGUGCAAACCACCGUAUCUUCUCUUCCCUAUUCUAUUUCCUCCGAACAUCUCCAACAGAUCGCAGGUGAUUUUGCCGUCCUCGCUGGGAGAGAGAGCGAGUGGUUCCGAUGAACGUCGCCCUAGAAGAUGACCGGAGGUGUCUUGGCGGUUGCUUGACAUCGAGGAGCUUCUGAUCCCUUCAGUGGAGCGCGCAAAUCGCGAAGAUGUUCUGAGGUUCUCUCUUGGUGACUCCUCGUCUUUUGGACUAUACAUGCAAUGAGGCAGAGAGAGAGCAGGGCAACUUCCUUUGUGGCUCCCAGUAAUAGAAUUCAACAUCCCAAACAUGUGGUUAAAGAGCAAAAGAAGAGAAUCACUGCCCAAGUCUCUGAUCAUUUUUUCUCGUCAAAGAUGGUAUUUGCACUUUGCUUGGUCUUUCGGUUGGCAAAUUCUUUAUUGGUGCAGACAUAUUUUAACCCAGAUGAGCACUGGCAAGCCCUAGAAGUUGCACACCACAUUACAUUCGGGUAUGGUCAUUUGACAUGGGAAUGGAACAAGGGUAUUCGCAGUUACCUGCAUCCUAUGCUGUUUGCUGUCCUUUAUAAAAUUCUUGCAAUAUUCCAUCUUGAUACCCCUUGGUUUAUGAUGAAGGCUCCACGGCUGGUGCAGUCCGUGUUUUCUGCUGUCGGGGAUUUCUACUUCUACAAAUUCUCAGUUGCUGUAUUUGGUGAUCAAGUUGCCCGAUUGGCACUUUUUUGUCAGCUGACAAAUUGGUUUAUGUUUUUCAGUUUCACUCGAACACUAUCAAAUAGUUUAGAGACAGUUCUUACACUAGUGAGCCUGUAUUACUGGCCUUGUAUGAGGGUUUCCUCCAAAAAAGAGGUUUCAAGAAGGUGGGGAUUGGUUGUUGCAGCAUUAGCUUGUGCCAUUCGACCCACAAGUGCAAUUACAUGGGUGUAUGUUGGCCUUCUAGAGCUCUUUCUUGCACGUGAUAGACUGAGAUUCAUUAUAUUUGAGGUGAUCCCUGUUGGGGUUCUGAUACUUGGACUCACAAGUUUAUUGGAUCGUAUGAUAUAUGGCUCGUGGAUUUUUGUGCCUCUUAAUUUUCUCAAGUUUAAUUUUCUUUCCUCUGGUGGGGACUAUUAUGGAACUCAUAAGUGGCACUGGUAUUUUACUCAGGGAUUUCCUGUCAUGGUCUUCACUUUCUUACCAUUUACUGUUGUUGGCAUCUUCCUGUCUAAACAAUGGAAGCUUUCUGGUCUUAUUGCAUGGGUCUUGGGACUUUACAGUGUAUUAGGUCACAAAGAGUUCAGGUUUGUCCUGCCCGUGCUUCCAAUAGCUCUUAUGUUCGCUGGAUAUUCGUUAGCCAUGAUGAAGAAAACUGAUUCCUCCGAAAGUAAAAGGAAAGGAUCUCUAAACAUCCGUGCUAAAUUCCCUUCAAAAAGGCAGUUGACCAUCGUUUUCUUGCUUGCUUCCAAUGUCCCAAUGGCCUUGUACAUGAGUUUGAUUCAUCAGAGAGGCACUGAGGAUGUAAUGAACUAUCUGUCAGUGGAGGCUUUGAAUGGGAAAGUGAAAAGUAUCCUUUUCCUGAUGCCAUGCCAUGCGACACCUUACUACUCCACCCUGCACCGCGACCUGCCGAUGCAUUUCUUAGACUGCACUCCAAGUGCUGAGAAAGGAACAAUAGAUGAGUCAGAUCGUUUCAUGAUGGACCCAGUUGGCUUCACAUCAAAUUUUGUGAAAAAUUGGUCUCCACCUAGUCACAUUGUAUUAUUUGAUUCAGAAGAAAGACAACUGAGGGAGCUUCUAAUCUUGCAUUCAUUCAAAGAGAUAAAAAGAUUUUUCCAUGCUCAUUUCAAGGUGGAUCAUGGUCUUCAAGCAUCAGUUGCUGUAUAUGCUUUGACAGGCCAGUGAUACUCUCAAAUGCAAAAUCAUUUUGUUGCAAUCUCUGGCUGUUCUAUUCUUUAAGGAAAUCCGAGGAACCAAGCUUAGAGUCUUUGAGGCGGGGUUGGAUAGAGUUUUGUUUAGGGUAAGUAUUUGUGAGACAGAUAUGUAUAUGGUUGGACUUCGUAUGACCAUGGAUGUAUUAUGGAUGUUAUUUUGGGGAUUUGUGUAUGUACUUUGGAAGAUGCUAGUACUUUGGUAUUGUUUUGGGAGUGUAUAUAUUUUGUUCUGUUGUGUUGUAUUAUCCGAGUUGUGAACAAGUGUACUUGGUGCCCAUUUUGGGGCAUCAAGAUACUAUAGUGUAGGGUAUCAGAGCAUUUUUAUAUUUAUAGUAGUAUAAUUUUUGGGUCGUUACAAA